rnacentral:lncRNA from 1 species
AGAGGUUUAAUGUUCUGUUAAUUAACUACUGAGUAAUGCUACCCAGAUGCUAAAGACGAUGACCUUAACCCACUCUAGUACAGUAUUCUUGUAAAUGCGCAAGUAUUGAAAGGCAACAAAUUCCCCUCUUUGAAGCUAGGCUGAUUUUUUUUUUUUUUCUCUUCUAUUCCCAUUAUCCUUUGCCUUGCUUGGUUCCUAUCACCUUCCUUUCUCUAAUCCCUCAUUGCCUCCCAGGCAAGCACCUGAUCAGCCAUAAGUUGGUGUCCAUUGUAAAAACCCAACGGUCUUUUCUAGAGCCUAAAAGUAAAGAUCUUUGCCACAGUUAACUAACUCUCUUUUCUUGAUCUCUCCUGAGCUUCCAGAUUGGUGGCUCUAGCUAGAUAUGCAACAAAAUCUUCUCAAAAGUGCCCAUUAACUGUCAUCAUACGC